GGCUGGUCCAAUGGUAGUGGGUUAUCAGAACUUAUUAACAUUAGUGUCACUAAAGUUGGUGUACAACCCCCCACUGCUAAAUUUGACUGGCUUUAA
ensembl:Y_RNA Y_RNA Y RNA